UUUAAUAUUUAUUGCUCCGCAAGUAAAAGAUAAAUACUGUAUUUGAUUCAUUGGCAACAGUGGCCAGUGGAUGACCUCCGUGUCCUUCCAAGCCUGCAAAAGUACAUGCUCACAUUAUCUUUUAGUCUGUACUCUCUGCACCCUCAGACUCUUUUGAAUUGUGGAUAAAAUCUAAAGUACUAUUCUGAUAAUAAUUAGGAGGUCACAUAUAUACUUGAAUGGGUUAAUUGAUAGGUAAUACUAUGAUACUUUCCCCUAGAUAAAUGGAUUGGUAUACAAUUAAGUUUCUCGAAAAGAAUAAUUGGGUAUUCUCAAAACAAGCAAAAAAGAAAAGAAAAGAAAAGAAAUCAAGCUAUUUUAUUAACUACUCGCGUGACCAAUGAAACAGUAUAUACCUUUUUAGUUUUAAGUUAGUGACGAAUUUAACUAGUGUAGAAAAGAAAUCAAUCACCUAUAUAUUAAAAGUGAAACAUUACAACAUUUGAGG
rnacentral:lncRNA from 1 species